AGUCAUGACUCAUACAGCAAUAAACGAAAGAUAUAAACUCGCUAAGCAUACACACGAUUUCUUGCACGGACUUUAAAGUAGUCAGAUUUUUAAAAAAUCUUGUUGGAAAAGCAAAAAUUGGCAAGACAUUAUCGUAAAUACUGUUCAAAAAAGGUGUCCGGGGAAAUAACCACAUUUCGGCCAAAUGU